GGGGCUGUAGCUCAGUGGCAGAGCACUUGCCUAGUAUGCAUUGAGGUGCUGGGUUCAAUCCUCAGCACCACA
rnacentral:tRNA from 1 species